GCUGACGAGUGGCGGACGGGUGAGUAAUGUCUGGGAAACUGCCUGAUGGAGGGGGAUAACUACUGGAAACGGUAGCUAAUACCGCAUAACGUCGCAAGACCAAAGAGGGGGACCUUCGGGCCUCUUGCCAUCGGAUGUGCCCAGAUGGGAUUAGCUUGUUGGUGGGGUAACGGCUCACCAAGGCGACGAUCCCUAGCUGGUCUGAGAGGAUGACCAGCCACACUGGAACUGAGACACGGUCCAGACUCCUACGGGAGGCAGCAGUGGGGAAUAUUGCACAAUGGGCGCAAGCCUGAUGCAGCCAUGCCGCGUGUAUGAAGAAGGCCUUCGGGUUGUAAAGUACU
rnacentral:rRNA from 1 species